rnacentral:rRNA from 1 species
GACGUAGGGCGCGAGCGUUGUCCGGAUUUAUUGGGCGUAAAGAGCUCGUAGGCGGUUUGUCGCGUCUGCUGUGAAAACUCGGGGCUUAACCCCGGGCCUGCAGUGGGUACGGGCAGACUAGAGUGCGGUAGGGGAGACUGGAAUUCCUGGUGUAGCGGUGAAAUGCGCAGAUAUCAGGAGGAACACCAAUGGCGAAGGCAGCUCGCUGGGACGGUACUGACGCUGAGACGCGAAAGCGUGGGGAGCGAACAGG